rnacentral:tRNA from 2 species
UGGGCUGUAGCGAAGCAAAGUCGCUUGAAUGGCAUUCAAGAGUUCGUCAGUUCGAUCCUGAUCAGCUCCA